UACAGAGGUCCCAAGCGUUGUUCGGAUUCAUUGGGCGUAAAGGGUGCGUAGGCGGCGCGGUAAGUCGGGUGUGAAAUCUCGGAGCUUAACUCCGAAACUGCAUUCGAUACUGCCGUGCUUGAGGACUGGAGAGGAGACUGGAAUUUACGGUGUAGCGGUGAAAUGCGUAGAUAUCGUAAGGAAGACCAGUGGCGAAGGCGGGUCUCUGGGACCUCGUACUGACGCUGAGGCAGCGAAAGCGUGGGGAGCGAACACGG
rnacentral:rRNA from 1 species